CCUAAGGAUCUUAGAAUCCUCGAUGGGGGUCAUAAGCCAGGGGGGGAAGAGGGACUGGCUCUCAGUCCCCGCCUCGCGGGGUGUGCCUCCCCCGUGUGAUGGGGAUCCUCAGAGUUGGGCGAGGAAGAAGGGCUGGCUCUCAGUCACCGCCUCGCGGGGGGUGCCUCCCCUCCCUGCGAUGGGGGUCCUAAGAGCCAGGGGGGAAAGAGCGGCUGGCUCUCAGUCCCCGCCUCGCGGGGGGUGCCUCCCCCCCUGCGAUGGGGGUCCUAAGAGAAAUGGAGGGAAGAGGGGCUGGCUCUCAGUCCCCGCCACGAGGUGGUGCCUCCCCCCCUGCGAUGGGGGUCCCAAGAGCCAGGGGGGGAAGAGCGGCUGGCUCUAAGUCUGCGCCUCGCCAGGGGUGCAUCCCCCCACUGCGAUGGGGGUCCUAGGAGCCAGGGGAGGAAGAAGGGCUGACUCUCAGUCCCCGGCUCGCGGGGGGUGCCUUGCUACCCUGCGAUGGGGGUCCUAAGAGCCAGGCAGGGAAGAGGGGUUGGCUCCCAGUCCCCGCCGCGCGGGGGGUGCCUCCCCUCCCUGCGAUGGGGGUCCUAGGAGCCAGGGGGGAAAGAGCGGCUGGCUCUCAGUCCCCGCCUCGCGGGGGGUGCCUCCCCCCCUGCGAUGGGGGUCCUAAGAGAAAUGGAGGGAAGAGGGGCUGGCUCUCAGUCCCCGCCGCGCGGGGGGUGCCUCCCCCCCUGCGAUGGGGGUCCUAAGAGAAAUGGAGGGAAGAGGGGCUGGCUCUCAGUCCCCGCCUCACGGGGGGUGCCUCCCCCCCUGCGAUGGGGGUCCUAAGAGAAAUGGAGGGAAGAGGGGCUGGCUCUCAGUCCCCGCCGCGCGGUGGGUGCCUCCCCCCCUCGCGAUGAGGAUCCUAAGAGCCAGUGGGGGAACAGGGGCUGGCUCAGUCCCCGCCUCGCGGGGGGUGGCUCGCUCCGCUGAGAUGGGCAUCCUAAGAGCCAGGGGAGGAAGAGGGGGAGAGGAGGAUAGUAAUUUCAGCAUCGCAGGCUGUGUUCACCCAGCCUGUUAAAUUGUUAUUAGUAUCCUGAAAGGGAGAGGAUGAUAUUACUCCCCAUAACAGACAGAUAUGACUCCCCAUCGUAGAGCACGAGGUGUACACCCGCCCUGUGAUUUUCUUCCUCAUAUUCAGAGACCGAGAGGUUGAUGUCACUCCCAAUAUCGGAGGAAGUAUACACCCCCGUGUGAGAUGUUCCUUAAUGAUAUUCCACGGCGGAGGGGUUGAUAUGACUACAUACAUGGCAGAAAGUGGAAACCCCCCAGGGAUAUUAUUCCCACGAUCCUGGAGGGAAGAAGAUGAUGUUACUUUCAAUAUGACAGAAGGUGGAUGAAGUGGUGGACUGCCCCUCCACACCUGUGGACACGCCCCCACUGAUAUUCCUUCUAAUUGCAACGUGGGAGAGGAGGAUAUGACACGCGAUAUCGCAGGGAGCAGAAACACCCCUGUGAUACUGUUCUUCAUAUUCAGGGACGAAGAGGAUGAUAUUACUCCCAAUACAGACGGGUGUACACCCUCUGUACACCGAGGGUGUACACCCGUCUGUGAAAGAGUUCGUAAUCUCCAGAGGGGGAGAUGAUAUUACUCACAAUAUGGUAAAGAGGCUGUGAGUCCACGGAGGAUCCUCAGAGCCAGCGGGGGAAGAGGGGCUGGCUCUGAGACCCCGCCUCGCUGGGGGUGCCUCCCCCCACUGCGAUGGGGGUCCUAAGAGCCAGUGGGGGAAGAGGGGCUGGCUCUGAGACCCCGCCUCGCGGGGGGUGCCUCCCCCCCUGCGAUGGGGGUCCUAAGGGCCAGUGGGGGAAGAGGGGCUGGCUCUGAGACCCCGCCUCGCUGGGGGUGCCUCCCCCCCCACCGAUGGGGAUCCUAAAGGCCAGUGGGGGAAGAGGGGCAGCCUCUGAGACCCCGCCUCGCUGGGGGUGCCUCCCCCCCCCUGCGAUGGGAGUCCUAAGGGCCAGUGGGGGAAGAGGGGCUGGCUCUGAGAACCCGCCUCACGGGGGGUGCCUCCCCCCCCUGCGAUGGGGGUCCUAAGGGCCAGCGGGGGAAGAGGGGCUGGCUCUGAGACCCCGCCUCGCAGGGGGUGCCUUCCCCCCCUGCGAUGGGGUUCCUAAGGGCCAGUGGGGGAAGAGGGGCUGGCUCUCUGUACCCGCCUCGCGGGGGGUGCCUCCCCCCCCCCGUGAUGUGGGUCCUAAGAGCCAGAAGGCUUAGAGGGGCUGGCUCUCAAUCCCCGCCUCGUGGGGGGUGCCUCCUCCCCCUGCGACGGGGGUCCUAAAGGCCAGUGGGGGAAGAGGGGCUGGCUCUGAGACCCCGCCUCGCUGGGGGUGCCUCCCCUCCCUGCGAUGGGGGUCCUAAGUGCCAGUGGGGGAAGAGGGGCUGGCUCUGAGACCCCGCCUCGCUGGGGGUGCCUCCUCCCCCUGCGAUGGGGGUCCUAAGAGCCAGGGGGGGAAGAGGGGCUGGCUCUCAGUCCCCGCCUCGCGGGGAGUGCCUCCCCUUCCUGCGAGGGGGGUCCUAAGAGCCAGGAGGGGAAGAGGGGCUGGCUUUCAGUCACCACAGCUGGCGGGGCCUUUAUGUUCUGGUUUUACCCAAGAGUCAGCUGAUUUGCUUCUUGUACUAGCAGGGCAGUUGCUGCCAAGGCCCUCAAACAGGGGGGCCAUCCUUUAGAAACCCUGUCUAGCUGUUUAGAGAGGUAGGCCACCGGCCUCAGCCAGGGCCCCACAGUUUGGGUUUAAAGUCCAGCUGCCAUCUUUUCUCUGACGCAUACAGUGGAAAAGGCUUUGUGAGAUCCGCUAGCCCCUGGGCUGGGGCUUUCAGAAGGUUUUCCUUUAAGUCAUGAAAGACUUGCUGUUGUUGGAAUCCCCAUUCCAAAUGUUCCCGGUCCCCGCCCCCUUUGUGACAUCAUACAAAGGCGUGGCUAAUACUGCAAAGUUGGGCUCCGCAGUCUACAAAACCCCACAGCUCCUAGGAAUUCUCUCACCAGCCUUCUGCCCUUAGGCUCCGGAAGAUUGCAAAUGACCUCCUUUCUUUCGGAUCCCGGGCUGCUUUCGGACACCUGUCGAAUAGUAAAUCCCAAGUAAGCUACCUGCGGUCGUCGGCAGAUCUGAGUUUUCUUCUUGGACACCUAAUACCCACAGCCCUCCAGAGACCGAGAGGUUGAUGUCACUCCCAAUAUCGGAGGAAGUAUACACCCCCGUGUGAGAUGUUCCUUAAUGAUAUUCCACGGCGGAGGGGUUGAUAUGACUACAUACAUGGCAGAAAGUGGAAACCCCCCAGGGAUAUUAUUCCCACGAUCCUGGAGGGAAGAAGAUGAUGUUACUUUCAAUAUGACAGAAGGUGGAUGAAGUGGUGGACUGCCCCUCCACACCUGUGGACACGCCCCCACUGAUAUUCCUUCUAAUUGCAACGUGGGAGAGGAGGAUAUGACACGCGAUAUCGCAGGGAGCAGAAACACCCCUGUGAUACUGUUCUUCAUAUUCAGGGACGAAGAGGAUGAUAUUACUCCCAAUACAGACGGGUGUACACCCUCUGUACACCGAGGGUGUACACCCGUCUGUGAAAGAGUUCGUAAUCUCCAGAGGGGGAGAUGAUAUUACUCACAAUAUGGUAAAGAGGCUGUGAGUCCACGGAGGAUCCUCAGAGCCAGCGGGGGAAGAGGGGCUGGCUCUGAGACCCCGCCUCGCUGGGGGUGCCUCCCCCCACUGCGAUGGGGGUCCUAAGAGCCAGUGGGGGAAGAGGGGCUGGCUCUGAGACCCCGCCUCGCGGGGGGUGCCUCCCCCCCUGCGAUGGGGGUCCUAAGGGCCAGUGGGGGAAGAGGGGCUGGCUCUGAGACCCCGCCUCGCUGGGGGUGCCUCCCCCCCCACCGAUGGGGAUCCUAAAGGCCAGUGGGGGAAGAGGGGCAGCCUCUGAGACCCCGCCUCGCUGGGGGUGCCUCCCCCCCCUGCGAUGGGAGUCCUAAGGGCCAGUGGGGGAAGAGGGGCUGGCUCUGAGAACCCGCCUCACGGGGGGUGCCUCCCCCCCCUGCGAUGGGGGUCCUAAGGGCCAGUGGGGGAAGAGGGGCUGGCUCUGAGACCCCGCCUCGCAAGGGGUGCCUUCCCCCCCUGCGAUGGGGUUCCUAAGGGCCAGUGGGGGAAGAGGGGCUGGCUCUCUGUACCCGCCUCACGGGGGGUGCCUCCCCCCCCUGUGAUGGGGGUCCUAAGAGCCAGGAGCAGAAGAGGGGCUGGCUCUCAGUCCUCGCCUCAUGGGGGGUGCCUCCUCCCCCUGCGACGGGGGUCCUAAAGGCCAGUGGGGGAAGAGGGGCUUGCUCUCUGUACCCGCCUCGCGGGGGGUGCCUCCCUCCCCUGUGAUGGGAGUCCUAAGGGCCAGUGGGGGAAGAGGGGCUGGCUCUGAGACCCCGCCUCGCGGGGGGUGCCUCCUCCCCUGCGAUGGGGUUCCUAAGGUCCAGUGGGGGAGGAGGGGCUGGCUCUCUUUACCCGCCUCGCGGGGGGUGCCUGCUCCCCCUGCGACGGGGGUCCUAAAGGCCAGUUGGGAAGAGGGGCUGGCUCUGAGACCCCGCCUCGCUGGGGGUGCCUCCUCCCCCUGCGAUGGGGGUCCUAAGAGCCAGGGGGGUAAGAGGGGCUCGCUCUCAGUCCCCGCCUCGCCGGUCGUGCCUCCUCCCCCUGCGAUGCUGUUCCUAAGAGCCAGGGGGGGAAUAGGGGUUGGCUCUCAGUCCCCGCCUCACCGGGGGUGCCUCCCCCCCCUGCGAUGGGCUGCCUUAGAGCCAGGAGCAGAAGAGGGGCUGGCUCUCUGUACCCGCCUCGCGGGGGGUGCCUCCGCCCCCUGUGAUGAGGGUCCUAAGAGCCAGAAGGCUUAGAGGGGCUGGCUCUGAGCCCACGUCUCGCGAGGUGCCUCCUCACCUUGCGAUCGGGGUUCCAAGAGCCAUGGGGGAAGAGGGGCUGGCUCUCUUUUUGGAUGAUUCUUUUUCCUUUCUCAGGCAGUUUUCUUUUUUCUUUCUUUUUUUUUUUUUUUUUUGAGACUGAGUCUUGCUCUGUUGCCCAUGCUUUGCUGGAUCUCGGGUGACUGCAACCACUGCCUCCCAGGUUCAAGAGAUUCUCCUGCCUCAACCUCCUGAGUAGCUGGGACUAGAGGCGUGUGUCACCACACCCUGCUAAUUUUUGUAUUUUUAGUAGAGAUGGGGUUUCACCAUGUUUGCCAGGAUGGUCUCUAUCUCCUGACCUUGUGAUCCACCCACCUCAGCCUCCCAACGUGCUGGGAUUGCAGGUGCGAGCCACCGGGUCCAGCCUUUCAGGCGAUUUUCAUACCUGCAUACUCUGAUCACUACUCUGUUAAACAGUCAAGGAGGCUGAGUGCCACGUGCUGACAUCACUAAGAUCAAUACAGCAAACUCUGAAAGAUGGACAGAGAGACAGGAGAUCGUCCUUUGUAAUUCAGUGUGAUCUGUGCUGCAAUAGAGAUGGAAGAGUGUUCUGAUCGGCUGGAAAACAACGCACAUGGGAAGCUGUACAGAAAUGAGUGGGGAAAGGACGGGAGAGGUUUAAACAUGUUACUACAUUGAAUAAAUGAAAUAACCAUGAACAUGGAGUGGCUAAAGAUUCUGAACUAAGUGCAAGUAAUUGAUAGCGCAAGCUCCCAAGGGGCUGGGGCCUGGAGCGCAGAUGGAUGGAUCCACUGUGGGCAGAACUGGGGCGUGGGAGGGGUGUGCCGAUGCAGAUGUGUUUGAGUGUGGGGGGCCAGAAGCUGAUUGGGAUGAAGCGUGACAGUGCAGCUCCAAGCCCGCUGGAGGUGUUCACCAAGCAACUCAAGAGCAGAUGGCAGAACGAGCAGCUGAAAUACCAGCUUGUGAAAUCAACCCUACUUUGUGGGGAGAGGAUUGGUUAAGGAUUCUAGCCAUGAGAACCAAGAAGAGGAGGAUAAUCUGUUCAUGCCUAUUAUGGGGCUUUGGGGGAGCAGUUUCAGCCUCAACCUGGAUAAUGUUUUAGAAGGCCAGAGAAAGGAACCCUGCAAAUCAUGUGAGCUGGCCCCUCACUUUGAGAUGAAGUGUCCAUACAGCAGUAACGCCACCCUCUGUAGUGGUUCUAGAGUGUGGCAAUCUGGAGGGGUCAUUAUGGAAAAGGGCUGAAGCAUAAGAAUGUAGGACCAAUACUGAGAUAGAAAGAGGAUUCUCUGAGAUGACUUAGGCAGGGUGAUGGUGGUGGAGGUGGGUGUAAGAAGCCCUCUGCUGCCUCAGUCCGAGCAUGGAAUUCAAUUGGUCAAGAGCAGAGCCAAUCACCAUUUAGGCCCCCUUGUUAGCCUUAAUUUAUUCCUCAGGUAUGGAGAAUACUCCUCAAGAUGCAUUCAGAGUGUAAGCUACCUCUUCCUCAGCAGAGGACUGCCCUGCAGGUUUGCAGUUCUGUCAUUUGGAAACUCCCUGAUGUGUCCCUUGGCUCUUCCCAUUCUUUUGCUUCAACACAUUUCAAGACCAGGCACCUUAACUGCAGAAACAGCAUGAAAAACAACUUUCUCUCUAAAAUGGAAGAUCUAUGAGAACAAGAACCUGUCUGCUCAUUGAGGUGUUACUCUAGAAAAAUGUCUGGCCCAUAGCAGGUGCUUAAUCAACAAUUUUUGAAGGAAAAGUGGAGGAAAAAAGAUAGGAGAAAGCAAACUCAUGAAGAAGAGUGCUUGUGUGGGGUGGGAGGAGAAGAGGGCAAUGGAUCCAGGCCCUACAGGGAUUCACUGUUCAAGCAGAAAGUCCAGGGAAAGCCACAUGGCCUCCUUCAAUCGGAUGAGCUGGAGCUGCUGACAUCCCCUGCAACCUGGGAGCCAGUGCAUGCAAUGCUCCAGCUGGGCCUAAGGACAGAAGGAGGCUAAUGAACAGCCACCUUCGGAGCAACAGGGUCACUUCAGUCCUCCCUGUUUACUUCCAAGCUGCUGGGAGUCUUAUGCACAUUUCCUCUUCUCACUUGCCUCUUCACAUCCCUAGCUGCCACAGGAAUUUAUGGCUUAAUUAAAGUGGGAAGCAGGGUUUAUACAUGUUUAUAUAAAGUUAUAUUUUCCUCCACCUCUUUGUUGGAAGAAAACUCAAAUGUUAAAAUUCUUAGGAGCCCAGGAGUUCGAGACUAGCCUGGGAAACAUUGCAACCCCAUCUCUACAAAGAAUAAAAAAAUUAGCUGGGAGUGGUGGUCCCAGCUACUUGGGAGGCUGAGGCAGGAGAAUCAUUUGAGCCCAGGAGGUUGAGGCUGCAGUGAGCCAUGUUAGUGCCAUUGCACUCCAGCCUGGGUGAGAGAGUGAGAUCUUGUUUAAAAAUAAAGAAAGAAACACCUAGAAAGGACACUAGAGAUAAAUC